UGGGGAAUAUUGCACAAUGGGCGAAAGCCUGAUGCAGCAACGCCGCGUGAGGGACGACGGCCUUCGGGUUGUAAACCUCUUUUAGCAAGGAAGAAGCGAAAGUGACGGUACUUGCAGAAAAAGCGCCGGCUAACUACGUGCCAGCAGCCGCGGUAAUACGUAGGGCGCAAGCGUUAUCCGGAAUUAUUGGGCGUAAAGAGCUCGUAGGCGGUUUGUCGCGUCUGCUGUGAAAACCCGAGGCUCAACCUCGGGCCUGCAGUGGGUACGGGCAGACGUAGAGUGCGGUGAGGGGAGAUUGGAACUCCUGGUGUAGCGGUGGAAUGCGCAGAUAUCAGGAAGAACACCGAUGGCGAAGGCAGAUCUCUGGGCCGUAACUGACGCUGAGGAGCGAAAGGGU
rnacentral:rRNA from 1 species